rnacentral:rRNA from 1 species
CAACCCGAUGCAAACUGCGAAUACCGGAGAAUGUUAUCACGGGAGACACACGGCGGGUGCUAACGUCCGUCGUGAAGAGGGAAACAACCCAGACCACCAGCUAAGGUCCCAAAGUCAUGGUUAAGUGGGAAACGAUGUGGGAAGGCCCAGACAGCCAGGAUGUUGGCUUAGAAGCAGCCAUCAUUUAAAGAAAGCGUAAUAGCUCACUGGUCGAGUCGGCCUGCGCGGAAGAUGUAACGGGGCUAAACCAUGCACCGAAGCUGCGGCAGCGACGCUUAUGCGUUGUUGGGUAGGGGAGCGUUCUGUAAGCCUGUGAAGGUGGCCUGUGAGGGUUGCUGGAGGUAUCAGAAGUGCGAAUGCUGACAUAAGUAACGAUAAAGCGGGUGAAAAGCCCGCUCGCCGGAAGACCAAGGGUUCCUGUCCAACGUUAAUCGGGGCAGGGUGAGUCGACCCCUAAGGCGAGGCCGAAAGGCGUAGUCGAUGGGAAACAGGUUAAUAUUCCUGUACUUGGUGUUACUGCGAAGGGGGGACGGAGAAGGCUAUGUUGGCCGGGCGACGGUUGUCCCGGUUUAAGCGUGUAGGCUGGUUUUCCAGGCAAAUCCGGAAAACCAAGGCUGAGGCGUGAUGACGAGGCACUACGGUGCUGAAGCGACAAAUGCCCUGCUUCCAGGAAAAGCCUCUAAGCAUCAGGUAACAUCAAAUCGUACCCCAAACCGACACAGGUGGUCAGGUAGAGAAUACCAAGGCGCUUGAGAGAACUCGGGUGAAGGAACUAGGCAAAAUGGUGCCGUAACUUCGGGAGAAGGCACGCUGAUAUGUAGGUGAAGCGACUUGCUCGUGGAGCUGAAAUCAGUCGAAGAUACCAGCUGGCUGCAACUGUUUAUUAAAAACACAGCACUGUGCAAACACGAAAGUGGACGUAUACGGUGUGACGCCUGCCCGGUGCCGGAAGGUUAAUUGAUGGGGUUAGCGGCAACGCGAAGCUCUUGAUCGAAGCCCCGGUAAACGGCGGCCGUAACUAUAACGGUCCUAAGGUAGCGAAAUUCCUUGUCGGGUAAGUUCCGACCUGCACGAAUGGCGUAAUGAUGGCCAGGCUGUCUCCACCCGAGACUCAGUGAAAUUGAACUCGCUGUGAAGAUGCAGUGUACCCGCGGCAAGACGGAAAGACCCCGUGAACCUUUACUAUAGCUUGACACUGAACAUUGAGCCUUGAUGUGUAGGAUAGGUGGGAGGCUUUGAAGUGUGGACGCCAGUCUGCAUGGAGCCGACCUUGAAAUACCACCCUUUAAUGUUUGAUGUUCUAACGUUGGCCCGUAAUCCGGGUUGCGGACAGUGUCUGGUGGGUAGUUUGACUGGGGCGGUCUCCUCCUAAAGAGUAACGGAGGAGCACGAAGGUUGGCUAAUCCUGGUCGGACAUCAGGAGGUUAGUGCAAUGGCAUAAGCCAGCUUGACUGCGAGCGUGACGGCGCGAGCAGGUGCGAAAGCAGGUCAUAGUGAUCCGGUGGUUCUGAAUGGAAGGGCCAUCGCUCAACGGAUAAAAGGUACUCCGGGGAUAACAGGCUGAUACCGCCCAAGAGUUCAUAUCGACGGCGGUGUUUGGCACCUCGAUGUCGGCUCAUCACAUCCUGGGGCUGAAGUAGGUCCCAAGGGUAUGGCUGUUCGCCAUUUAAAGUGGUACGCGAGCUGGGUUUAGAACGUCGUGAGACAGUUCGGUCCCUAUCUGCCGUGGGCGCUGGAGAAUUGAGGGGGGCUGCUCCUAGUACGAGAGGACCGGAGUGGACGCAUCACUGGUGUUCGGGUUGUCAUGCCAAUGGCACUGCCCGGUAGCUAAAUGCGGAAGAGAUAAGUGCUGAAAGCAUCUAAGCACGAAACUUGCCCCGAGAUGAGUUCUCCCUGACUCCUUGAGAGUCCUGAAGGAACGUUGAAGACGACGACGUUGAUAGGCCGGGUGUGUAAGCGCAGCGAUGCGUUGAGCUAACCGGUACUAAUGAACCGUGAGGCUUAACCUU